rnacentral:rRNA from 1 species
AGAAUCAACGCUGGCGGCGUGCCUAACACAUGCAAGUCGAACGAGAAAGUGGUAGCAAUACCACGAGUAAAGUGGCGCACGGGUGAGUAACACGUGACUAACCUACCCUGGAGUGGGGGGAUAACUGAGGGAAACCUUAGCUAAUACCGCAUAAUACCCACGGGUCAAAGGAGCAAUUCGCUCUGGGAGGGGGUCGCGGCCGAUUAGUUAGUUGGCGGGGUAAUGGCCCACCAAGACUGUGAUCGGUAUCCGGCCUGAGAGGGCGCACGGACACACUGGAACUGAAACACGGUCCAGACUCCUACGGGAGGCAGCAGUGGGGAAUUUGCGCAAUGGGGGAAACCCUGACGCAGCAACGCCGCGUGGAGGAUGAAGUCCCUCGGGACGUAAACUCCUUUCGAUCGGGACGAUAAUGACGGUACCGGAAGAAGAAGCCCGGCUAACUUCGCGCCAGCAGCCGC